GGAACAGAGAAAAUGUUCCCCUCUUCUUCUGGAUGAAAGUUACCAACCUCACUGUUGCUGGAGCUUAGAAACCCCCGCUUACAGAUGUCAAGAGCUGCUGACAGACGACAUGGGAGGUGACUGACAGACAGAUGUGUUGCAAGUAUCUGAGAACAACAUUCAUUUUAGGAAGACGAGGUUCUUGGUAAUGUUGAGGACAGAGCAGUCUUCCGAAUGCUUUCAUGGACGGAUACUGGUGUGGAUGCUAAGCGAGUCUUCCCACGUGAUUGAUCGUCUCCCCUUCCUGCUCUGGUUUCUCACUUACACACCCUGGUGUCAGGCUUUCCCAGCAGGGAUCCCUGGCUGCCUGCCUGCUCCAAAUCUUCUCAACAUGAAUGCAAGCCAUGGCCAUGGUGCCAGACAUAAGAGGUAGAGGAUGAGCAUUCAUUGUGAUGGUGGUGCCAUUCCUAGACAUGAGAAAUCUCUUCAGAGAACCCAAUCCUGCUUAUAUCACCAUCGAUGGGAGCUGAAAAGAUCUAUGACUUAAUAAAUGAAAAGCCAGCUCAGAGAGGAUCUCA
rnacentral:lncRNA from 1 species